rnacentral:lncRNA from 1 species
CAUUUUAGUCAUGGCCCUGACCAAGGAAUGACCUGUAGGGAAGAGCACAAAGGAGGAAGCCAGUGAAGAGUCUGCAUUUGAGCAAAAGCUCAAAGGGUAUGGACUCAGAAAAGGCAGCUCCAGCUUUGAGGACCCUGGACACCAUCACCCACUGGCCCCUGCUCCCAGGGCAGGUUGCAAGCGGAUGCCCCGUUGGCUGUGAUCACUCGGCUUCUCUGUAGCUCGCCCACCAUGCGCUCGGUGCUGCUCAGUGGCCACAGGGUAACACAAUCCUUUGAUUCCUUGUUGGGAAGAAGGCAACAGCUGUCCCAUCACGAAUGCCCGCCAGUCUCCUGUGGGAUGUCCCUGGCCCUGCCGUCACCCCUCCUGGUCCCUGCACAGCCACCUCUCAUCCUACAGCGCUGCAGUGUGGAUGCACCGCUGUGGUCAUAGCUGUCAUCGUCGUCCCCUACUGUGGGCAGCUGCUUCUGGACCGCACAGCUCAUCGUCUGUCCCUCCUGCUCAGUGGCAUUGCUGCUAAGUGGGGAUGCCUGCAUGGGGAUCCAGGUGGCCCUAUCUCAGAGCCCAUCUACUCAAUUCUUCCUGCUGUCUGCUCCCAACAAACCCUAUGUCCGUCCUUGAUCUCUGCCUCUAGCCCAGGGUAA